ACGGAAGGCAGCAGUGGGGAAUAUUGGGCAAUGGGCGAAAGCCUGACCCAGCAAUGCCGCGUGAAGGAAGAAGGUCUUCGGACUGUAAACUUCUUUUAUGAGGGACGAAGGAUUUGACGGUACCUCAUGAAUAAGCCACGGCUAACUACGUGCCAGCAGCCGCGGUAAUACGUAGGUGGCAAGCGUUAUCCGGAUUUACUGGGUGUAAAGGGCGCGUAGGCGGGGAAGCAAGUCAGAUGUGAAAUCUAUGGGCUUAACUCAUAAACUGCAUUUGAAACUGUUUCUCUUGAGUGCUGGAGAGGUAGAUGGAAUUCCUAGUGUAGCGGUGAAAUGCGUAGAUAUUAGGAAGAACACCAGUGGCGAAGGCGAUCUACUGGACAGUAACUGACGCUGAGGCGCGAAAGCGUGGGGAGCAAACAGGAUUAGAUACCCUGGUA
rnacentral:rRNA from 1 species